GACGGAGGGUGCAAGCGUUGCUCGGAAUCACUGGCGUAAGGGUAGGCGUAGCGGUCUCGCAAGUCUGGCGUGAAAGCCCAAGGCUCAGCCUUGGAAGUGCGCUCGAAACGGCGAGGCUGGAGUGCCGGAGGGGAGAGUGGAAUUCCCGGUGUAGUGGUGAAAUGCGUAGAUAUCGGGAGGAACACCAGUGGCGAAGGCGACUUCCUGGCCUGUUCUUGACGCUGAGGCGCGAAAGCUAGGGGAGCAAACGGG
rnacentral:rRNA from 1 species